UUUCCAGCUCCCUUUUUAAAAACUGGUUAUUUCGAGUUAACUCAAACAUGCAGGAAUAAAUACAUCCAGGGUCCCCGCACCAAAAUUACCACCAGAGGGUCAGGCGAGUCUGCCUGCGGUCAGCAGUGUGCAGUCACAGUCCCCAAGAAGCGCCUGCUGGGUUUGCAAGAUCUCGCCUGAACUCCGUCCUCAGCGAGGUGCAGCUGAGAACUGCGAGGUAGAGUCCAGCCUCGGUCUCCGUGGCUCCCACCGCUAGACUGGAGUUUUAACUGGAGAUCUGCCCCACUUCCUGGGACCGUGGCUAGCAUCUAGGCCUCCCGACCACACCUCUGAAGAAUGAAUGCAUGAACAGGGACCGCCUAAGGUGGCAUGCAGUGGGGACCAGGGGCAAAGGACAAGCUGCUGGACACACAGGUGGUGUUGAGGAUUGAACCCAGGGCCUCAUGCAUGCCAGGCAAGCACUGUACCACUGAGCCACAACCCCAGCCCUGGCCUUCUUAAAACAGUUAUGGCACAGUAAGACCUGGCUGUUCCACAUUCUCACAAGGGGCACACAGUUCCCCCAAAUCCAUCCCGAGGAACAAACUCUAGUGACACGGCUGGUUUCUGCAUGCAGUCACCAUACUUCCAUCUGGUCACCGCCACUUUUUAAAAAGGGCAACCACCAACGUUUAAUUUACAAAUUUUAUCUUUACAUGAAAGUAGGAUCUUAAAGUGUUUCCAAAACAUCCUACCGGUUUUUGCAUAUAAGCCUCAAAAGAAAGUUGAAUUACAAGGCCAAAAUGGAAAUGCCUGAAACUCCUGCUCAACACAUCCAAUGUUUCCUUCAAUGAAUGAUCAUGGAAACUUCCACAA